UCCAGCGUGUAUCACUGGUGUGUAGUAAUGAGUGUGCAUUAGUUCUAAUCAGACAAUGUGUAUGGGGGAGAGAGCUGUAGAAAUACUAUAAAAGCCACAGACGAAGAGAUGUUUGUCGGAGAAUGUGCUGGAGAACGCUCUGGAGAUCACUCUGGACGGAGAACACACUUGGAUGUCUUCUGACCAGGAAAUUGAGAGAUGCUUGAGGGACUCUUACACACAUUUUUCGAUUGACAGAGCGCACUUUGAAGGAGUUGCAAUGGGACUGUAGUGCAACAGAAGAGGAGUGGCAGAACCUUUUUCUGUGUUCUGCCAGAAGAACAGGCCUCACUUCUUUACCCCUUGGAAUACAAAAACAGACUGCAGUUCUAAUCGGAGUUGCGAAUCCUCGUCUCCCCCUGACUGGAGGACUCCGCCUGCGCAUCCGUGCCCCGUACCAGGUUUCUGCUCUGCUGGUAGGGAGCCUCUCUUAGCUCAGGACAAGACGGAGCUGAGUUGAUCAGUUCCAGCUGGGCUGUUAGGCUCUCUCCCUCUUCAAAUUAACUAUUUUUGUUAUUAAUUUUAGUUUAGUUGAGCACAGAUUAUAUUACUGUUUUCAAAAUAAUCGGGUUUAACUAAAAUGUGAGUAAUUAUGAGUGAACAAUCAAUUGCUGUUGCUUUGCCCAUGCUAAAAGAGAUGCAAUAAAUAUUUAAUCUUGCAUUUAAAGACAA